GUGGCAACCCAAAGAGCACCCACUGGGUGUCCCCAGUUCAGACACAUGGGUGGAGUUUCCCCUUGAUCGACUUAAAAUGGUGUUUCAUUUGCUUCCUGGCCCUGGUGAAAUUUUACUAGUACUGGUGUGGAAAACGAGUCGGGUCUCAUACAUAGUUUUCUCUUGAAACCUGUAAAAGUUCGAGUUUACAUUUGCGGGUGGGAAAAGUCUUGUCCUGUUCAGGUGUGAGUCUGCUGCCCUUGGUCUCGGUGCCAGAUGGACCCUUCUAGCACUGAUGUGCUGGAGGUGGAGGGGACAGCACAUCCUCUGAGAUUCCCAGUAGGAGAAAAGUCCACAUUGUACCAGCCAGAUAUUUCCCCCGCGAGGUGUGAAGCAGCCCUCCAAGAAAUCACUUGAAAAAAUGGACACAAUUGUCAGAGCCUGAGUUAGGGAUGUCACUAUUACCCUUCCAGGAAGUACUUGAAAUCGAAAUGAUUCCUGUUGUUUCUUUGAAGUGAGAAAGUCCACGGAACCUAGGAAUCGCUCACGUUGUUGGGCUCCUUCAUGUUUGGACAACACUGGUGUCAUGCCUUAGUGAAGGCAUGUUUUCUUUCUUACUUGCUUGCUUUCUUGCUUUCUUUUCUUUAUUGAUGCUUAUUAAUGAGAGAGAGAGAGAGAGAGAGAGAGAGAGAGAGAGAGAGCGCCACAACGGGGGAGGGGCAGGGAGCUAGGGAGACAGAGGAUCCAAAGUGGGUUCUGCACUGACAGCACAGACCCAAUGUGGGACUGGGACUCACGAGCGGCAAUAUAAUGACCUCAGCCAAAGUCAGACGCUUAACAGACUGAGGCCCCCAGGUGCCCCUGGAAGGGUGUAUUCUUAAUGGAUGACUUAAAUGCAUGGGUGACUUUUUGUUUUCCAGAACAUUUUCUCAAUUGAAUUGAAGCCGGAAUGUUUCUGAUGGUCUAAGACGCCCUUUGAGAGCAGUGUUAGAAAUCCCACAUGAUGUUUCUUUUGUGUCUGAUGUAGUCAUUCCCGCACGGGGCUGUGGGUGGGCAUUUGGUGGCCCGGCUGCCCAGCCCCCCCAAGCUGAGAGCUGUCACACUGUGGCCAGAGAGCUUGUUGGGUGGCCUCUGAGAACCGUUCUCCCAGGCGUCCCUGACCCCGGGCCCUGCUCUUUCACAUGUGGAAUCUUAGGAAGGCCACACCAUGUCCAUUCCCCAGGAUGAGGGGGUGCUGAUGAGACCCAUGGGAGACUGACCCUAUUUUGUGGUAUGAGUCACCGGUGUCCUUCUGUCUCCCUUUUCCCAAAGGUGAUUUUCCUCUUGUUUUCAUUUGGGUUGUCUGUGUUUCUUACAAUCCCCUGUGUGGGCUUCACUCCUCAUUGACUACACUUUUCUGAAUGAUGUAAGUGGCAAAGAGCAGAGAUGGGGGCCAAGACCGUGAAAGUUUCUGGGCACCGUGAGCACAUCAAGGAAGAGACUAUCUUCAUGCUGGUGUGAAAUUGGUCUUUUGAAAGGCAGAGACACAGACCAGGGGGACACAGCUUUCCUGUGAACCCACACUGGCACGACUUGGUCUGUCUUGGGAGCUGAUGUUCCCACAACACGUGACUCCAUGCUUCUAUACAUGUGUUUGCAUAGGUACGUGGUGGCUUAGAAUCUCCCAUCACAAACAGUUCCUGUAUUGAUGAUUCUAGCAUCUUGUCUUCAAGAGCGGAGAUUUCAUCAAGGGACUCGGUCACCUACCCUCUCUGCAAGUGGGCGUUCCUGCCACACACCAUGUCUUUGAAUACUUUCGACCUUAAACUCCCCUCCACGACUCUAAUUUUCCUGCUUUGUCACUGCGCAUGGGGUAUACUGGGGAGCUGCUUUCUAAGUCCCAUAUUCUCAUGAAAAGCCCCAAAUAGGAGAGCCGAGGGAUUGUCCCGUGGGAGAGCGGGCCCUGCACGUGACUCGGCAUGGCCUUAUGCUGCCACCUCUCCCGGUGGUGUUUCCUAGUCAGGAAGUGUAGGUAAAAGGAACCUUGAAACUGUGCUCAGAGUUUUCUUUAGGAUGCACCGGCUUCCGAUUGGACCUUCCCGUCCCUACUGUGAGGGACCAUCCCUCUGAUCUGUUUGGGUCACCUGCGGUGCUUGACUUCCUCGGCCCCAAUAUCUUUCAGGAAAAUGAAGCUGUUCUUGGCUGAGGCAGAGCCAGGAAAUCAUCCCCAAAAGAGGUGAAGUCUGUAGUGUGGGUAUGUUAGACACAGUGUAUGUUCCUCCCUGACUUGUUGAGCCCACAGCUUCCACAGAAGCCACGUGAGGAUGUCGAGGCCCUGGGAGCCGACUCCCGAGCCGGUGAAGUCACCAUUGCUCUCAUCGUCGUUUCUGUUCCCGUGGCUUUGAAACAUGCUGGAUGUUGGGAGAACCCCUGGGACAGUUGUGGGCACCCUGUGGCCGUUCCAGGUGUUGGAGCCGGUUCUACCCCCAUCACCAUUCCCAAGGACACUGGGCAGUGGCCAGGGCUGGUUUGCUUUUUAGCUAUACUCUGGGAUUGCCAUCCAGAUGUGUGGACGUGGUGACCCCUGGACAGCCCUGUGGGGUGGCCUUUGUGCCAUUUUGUGGUCCCCUGAUUGUGACAGCUCUAAAGGCUUCUUGACCUGCCAUAUUUUGACCACAGCUUGUGAUCUGCUUCACUAUUCCCGGUGUUAAAUGUAGAAAGGGGCUUUAGAUGAUAAAUUCUGAUAGUGUCUUGUGUCACCUUCGAAUGUGUAAGAAUAUGUGAAAGCAGUAGUACUUCAAGUAAAGAGAUGCUGUCUAAACGUUUUGCCUCACUGUCUUUGACUAGCGUCCUCAGAGUCUCUGCGAUGUGGGAUUGUUGACUUGGUUUCCACCUCUGCUAUGAGCUGAGGCUUGCAAAAGUGCUUCUCCUAAUCCCACUACCUGAUGAAAGAGAACCUUUUCUCCAUAUGAAUAUAGCAAAUUCCAUUUUAGGUCAGCUACUCUUGGAUUUGGGAUGACUCACUGGCCCGGAGCACAUUAGUUUCUGUUUUCCCUGUAAACUUGACUCUGAGCUCUACUGACAAGAUGGGCCUGGCAGACUAAGGGGAGACUGGCAAAGGCAGGGACUGGGGGUGUGGAGGAAUGGGGCCUAGUGGUGUAGAGAUCCCACCACGUGACCUCACGUGUCAUCUUAGAAGGCACCGACGCCCUCCCACCAUUCCCAGUUCUGUCUCUUCUCUUCUCUUCUCUUCUCUUCUCUUCGCUUCGCUUCGCUUCCCUUCCCUUCCCUUCCCUUCCCUUCUUUCCCUUCAAGCAUACACAAGUUGAGAGAGAAUGAUUUUUAAGAACACCAGACCCUCAAGGAAAAGAGCUUGAAAGAGGAACAAAAGCCUCUCAUGGUUAUGGCAGGAUGUUUGGCAUGUGGUAGGACCGGAUGGACAAGGUCGGUGUUCGCCGAAUAUCCCAGUUCACUGUGGGCACAGAGUAGGCGAAGUAGGGGCUCAGACUUCUUGCAGAAGAGCUUUGAGUCCAUGCGGUGAAGGCGAGCCUUCAGCCAGCUGGCACCAGAACCAGAUCUGGGGCUGUCCUUCAGUGCGCGGGCGAUGCUUCAGCCACCAGGUGCUUUGCUGUCCUUCAGGCAUUGACGACCUUGACAGAACAGUCCAACAUGGCCCUCUGUGUAGAGUCACUUCCCGUGAGUCCGGGAGAGAGCACUCUCUGAGGACAGUGGGCGACCUUCCUCUGCCAUCCAGCUAUAGGGUUCAGCAUGGUUGACUGCACACAUCAGCCUUUGGUGGCACUUUGCAUCCUCUGUCCUGAGACACCCGGAGCUCGGCCGCUCUAUUCCACGCCCCAUGCAAGAGACUACGGUGUAGUGGGGUGGUGUGUUACAUGUUUCUCCAGGGAGGUACCUGUGUACAUUCUGCAGACCUCCCUGUAGAGGUGAAUUUCCCAGUUUGAGCAGUGUCUCUUAUUCUGACCCAACAGAUGUCUGCCUCUGCUCUGCAUAGACGGGAAGCCAUCAGCUGAUACGGAAUUUCUGGUCUAUAAUUCUAACGUGUCCCUUGUAAUUCCAGAUGCUGCUCAGAUCGGGUUCAGUGUUGAGCCAAGUGCAGAACUGCACCAUUGGGUCACAGUGAGCCACGCUGAACUGUGUUCACACAGAGCAGAUAUUUGGGGGGUCGUAGGGGCACCGCACACCAGGUCUGGAAUUUGCCUACGCUGGGGUUGGACCACGAGUGAGCUACAGGAAACAGACAGGGACGUUUCCUGGUGUGACUGUCAUUCCCGGAGAUAUCUAGACGGGCAGAGUGGGGAGUGGAAUCGUCUUUGGAUUCUACAAAGUUGCCUGGUUGCCUUUUGCAGUACAGACAACCCGUCACCCCCGUGUGCUUCGGACAGUGAGAGAAGCAGGUAGAGGCCUUUCCUUCCUGAAACAAAGCCUGUGCCCAUGGGGUUGUAGGGAUUUGAAGCGGAGAGAAAUUCAUGGUCUGUCUGCGUCUCUAGCUCUGGGUUGGCAAAAUGACACAGUGGGGCAAACAACGAAUCUAUCGAGGAGAAGCUUGAUGGCAGUAACAACAAAGCUGUCACUGCUGGCUUCUCUGCUUCUGUUGUCCUCUCAACACCUUGGGCUCUGGCCUUACUAGGCCCCGAAGCUUCCCUGAGGAGCCCUCCUUCCCGCCAGCCUGUCUGCAGCUGCCUUUCCCCUGUGUCUUCUGCCUGUGGUCCUUCACUCACCCUGGACAUUACUGUAUUUCCGUGGAGGCUCUCUGGGGCUGGGACCUGUCCUCCUUACCUCGUGCCUGGCCUGGCACCGUGCAGGCGCUCAGCGAUAUCUCAUGAGUUACCAGCCGGUGCAGUGACGGUACCCAGACAGCUGACGGAAAUGCCCAGGUGUCUACACCUGGUAUAGUGGGGAGACUGCCCUUAACAGAUGAAUUUGGUGGGGUGCUGCCAUGGGCUCACAGCCCCUCUCUCCGUGCCUCCCUACACCUGUAGGCAAGCUUGGCUUCCAGCUCUUCCAGAUUGGACCAACUUGUCAGAAAUCUAGGUGGCUCAGUCUAUUAUGUGUCUGACUCCUGGUUUCGGCUCAGGUCAUGGUCUCACGGUUCCUGGGUUCGAGCACUGCAUCGGGCUGUCUACUGUCAGUGCAGAGCCUCCUAGGGAUUCUCUCUCUCUC